rnacentral:rRNA from 1 species
GACGAACGCUGGCGGCGUGCCUAAUACAUGCAAGUAGAACGCUGAAGCUUGGUGCUUGCACCGAGCGGAUGAGUUGCGAACGGGUGAGUAACGCGUAGGUAACCUGCCUGGUAGCGGGGGAUAACUAUUGGAAACGAUAGCUAAUACCGCAUAAGAGUAGAUGUUGCAUGACAUUUGUUUAAAAGGUGCAAUUGCUUCACUACCAGAUGGACCUGCGUUGUAUUAGCUAGUUGGUGAGGUAACGGCUCACCAAGGCAACGAUACAUAGCCGACCUGAGAGGGUGAGCGGCCACACUGGGACUGAGACACGGCCCAGACGCCUACGGGAGGCAGCAGUAGGGAAUCUUCGGCAAUGGGCGGAAGUCUGACCGAGCAACGCCGCGUGAGUGAAGAAGGGUUUCGGAUCGUAAAGCUCUGUUGUAAGAGAAGAACGAGUGUGAGAGUGGAAAGUUCACACUGUGACGGUAGCUUACCAGAAAGGGACGGCUAACUACGUG